AUUGAACGCUGGCGGCAGGCCUAACACAUGCAAGUCGAGCGGAUGAAGGGAGCUUUCUCCUGGAUUCAGCGGCGGACGGGUGAGUAAUGCCUAGGAAUCUGCCUGGUAGUGGGGGAUAACGUCCGGAAACGGGCGCUGAUACCGCAUACGUCCUGAGGGUGAAAGUGGGGGAUCUUUGGACCUCACGCUAUCAGAUGAGCCUAGGUCGGAUUAGCUAGUUGGUGGGGUAAAGGCCUACCAAGGCGACGAUCCGUAACUGGUCUGAGAGGAUGAUCAGUCGCACUGGAACUGAGACACGGUCCAGACUCCUACGGGAGGCAGCAGUGGGGAAUAUUGGACAAUGGGCGAAAGCCUGAUCCAGCCAUGCCGCGUGUGUGAAGAAGGUCUUCGGAUUGUAAAGCACUUUAAGUUGGGAGGAAGGGCAGUAAGUUAAUACCUUGCUGUUUUGACGUUACCAACAGAAUAAGCACCGGCUAACUUCGUG
rnacentral:rRNA from 1 species